UGUCGAUGUGUUGAAGUACAGACUGGGGAAGGAAUGGAAGGACCACCCUGAAAAGUUCAACUACAAGUUCUCAUACUAAUGAUCAUCGUGGCCAUCAAUGUAUGGCCUCACCUAGCAUGGCAGCCUACUCGUCUUAGUCAGAAGAAGAGGAGGCAUCUCUUGAGUAAAGGGUCUGAUUACUCGAAAGGGUACCUAAUGACCUUUACUUAAGUGAGGCCGCCAAGCUCCCGUACACGUGUCUACUGCGACACACCUACGAAGGGAACAACAUUCCCGAGGCGGUGGAUAUCUGCAACUGUCUGGACUCGUGGCUCGGCCUGCUGGAUGAGAGCCAGAAGUCCCGGCCCGACCCGAACUCUGUGCUGGGUCGCUGGCGAACGCCGCCCACCUGGUCACACCUGUUCGACCCGGCUCCCGACGCGUCGCUCUACUGAGGCGGGGUCACAGGGGACAUCGGUCUUGGCAUCGCUCCUCCGGCGCAGGGCCAGGUAGGGCGGGGGAGUGUCACUUGCCUGGACUGCCUACUGACUACUCUACUAUGUUUCAUCUGCCAGCGCUGCAAGUAAAGGUGGUAUGGUUUGCUGAUGUUUUCUAUCAUAGUUUGUGGGCGAGAACUGGAAACGGUUGUGCGGUGUGCACUUUGGGCCGACUAGCAUUAAAAGACUGACGUCGUACCGUACUUCGUCAAUGUUCCAGUGACUGUGUUCGGUGAGAACCUGAACUGUGAUGCUAUAAUUUGUGGUGGUGUCAGCUCGUGUGAAUCGAAAUGAUGUGAUACCCGGGUGGUACCUCUCCAUUACGAAUAUGAGCCAUGGGCUGCUACUGUCCAAACUCCGAAUACAACAA